AGCGAACGCUGGCGGCAGGCUUAACACAUGCAAGUCGAACGGGCGUAGCAAUACGUCAGUGGCAGACGGGUGAGUAACACGUGGGAACGUACCCUUUGGUUCGGAACAACACAGGGAAACUUGUGCUAAUACCGGAUAAGCCCUUACGGGGAAAGAUUUAUCGCCGAAGGAUCGGCCCGCGUCUGAUUAGCUUGUUGGUGAGGUAAUGGCUCACCAAGGCGACGAUCAGUAGCUGGUCUGAGAGGAUGAUCAGCCACACUGGGACUGAGACACGGCCCAGACUCCUACGGGAGGCAGCAGUGGGGAAUAUUGGACAAUGGGCGCAAGCCUGAUCCAGCCAUGCCGCGUGAGUGAUGAAGGCCCUAGGGUUGUAAAGCUCUUUCACCGGUGAAGAUAAUGACGGUACCUACAGAAGAAGCACCGGCUAACUCCGUG
rnacentral:rRNA from 1 species